UCGGGAAUUUUGGGCAAUGGGCGAAAGCCUGAUCCAGCCAUGCCGCGUGUGUGAAGAAGGUCUUCGGAUUGUAAAGCACUUUAAGUUGGGAGGAAGGGCAGUAAGUUAAUACCUUGCUGUUUUGACGUUACCGACAGAAUAAGCACCGGCUAACUCUGUGCCAGCAGCCGCGGUAAUACAGAGGGUGCAAGCGUUAAUCGGAAUUACUGGGCGUAAAGCGCGCGUAGGUGGUUUGUUAAGUUGGAUGUGAAAUCCCCGGGCUCAACCUGGGAAUUGCAUUGGAGACUGCAAGGCUAGAAUCUGGCAGAGGGUGGUGGAAUUUCCUGUGUAGCGGUGAAAUGCGUAGAUAUAGGAAGGAACACCAGUGGCGAAGGCGACCACCUGGACUGAUACUGACACUGAGGUGCGAAAGCGUGGGGAGCAAACAGGAUUAGAUACCCUUGUAGUCCCUGAGCGGGCUGGCAAGGCGCAU
rnacentral:rRNA from 1 species